GGGGAAUAUUGCGCAAUGGGGGGAACCCUGACGCAGCAACGCCGCGUGGAGGAAGAAGGCCUUCGGGUCGUAAACUCCUGUCAUCAGGGACGAUAAUGACGGUACCUGAGGAGGAAGCCACGGCUAACUACGUGCCAGCAGCCGCGGUAAUACGUAGGUGGCGAGCGUUGUCCGGAAUUACUGGGCGUAAAGGGUGCGUAGGCGGAAUCUUAAGUCAGAUGUGAAAACCCAGGGCUUAACUUUGGGAUUGCAUUUGAAACUGAGGUUCUAGAGUGCAGGAGAGGGAAGCGGAAUUCCUAGUGUAGCGGUGAAAUGCGUAGAUAUUAGGAAGAACACCAGUGGCGAAGGCGGCUUUCUGGACUGUAACUGACGCUGAGGCACGAAAGCGUGGGGAGCAAAC
rnacentral:rRNA from 1 species